UAUGAAAGAAAUUACUACAGAAAUAGGUUAUUUCAAGGCAGGAAGCAAGCAAAUAAAACUUCAGUUGAGGACACUAACAGUAACAGAGUAACAAAAGAAACCCAGAAUUUCAAUGAAGAGAGCAUGGCUGCUGAAGACUGGGGAUCAAUGUCAGAAGUAGCCAGCUGUAGCUAUGAGGCAAGAAAGGCUGGAGUAAAAAAUGGAAUGUUUCUUGGUGAAGCCUUAAAGCUAUGUCCAUCACUACAAACAAUUCCUUAUGAUUUUGAAGGCUACACUGCCGUAUCCCAUACUUUAUAUGACACGGUUGCAAGCUACACGCUUGACAUUGAAGCUGUGAGCUGUGAUGAACUGUUUGUUGAUUGUACGGACGUUCUGCAAGAAACUGGAGCCAGUCCUAUGGAAUUUGGUACAUUUUUAAGAAAAGAAAUUAAGGAAAAGACUGGGUGUGUAGCAUCUGCUGGAUUUGCAUCAAAUAUUCUCUUAGCCCGUCUAGCCACUAAACAAGCCAAACCCAAUGGACAGUUCAAUCUAGAACCUGACAAAGUAAAUACCUUCAUGAAAAAUCAGAUGGUAAAAGAUCUCCCAGGUGUUGGUCCUGCCACAAAAUCCAGGUUAGAAACACUUGGCAUAACCACAUGUGGUCAACUUCAAUCUCAGUCCCUUCAAUUAUUGCAAAAAGAAUUUGGUCAAAAAACUGGUCAGUCUCUAUUUGACCACUGUAGGGGCUUGGAUCACCGUGUUGUAAAGAGUGAAAAAGAACGUAAAUCGGUAUCAGCAGAAGUAAAUUAUGGUAUUCGCUUUGAAAAAUUUUCUGAAGCAGUAGAGUUUAUCAAAGAAUUGUCGUUGGAAGUUCAUCAGAGACUACAGAAAGUUGGUAUGAAAGGCAGGUCGAUUACACUAAAGCUCAAGAUUCGAAAGAAAGAUGCACCAGUGGAAACUGCAAAAUUCAUGGGUCAUGGUGUAUGUGAUAAUGUAGCAAAAUCACUUCUGCUUCACACAGCAACCGACAACCCUGAGAUCAUUAGUCGAGAAUGUGCAUCCCUCCUUCAGAUGAUGAAACACAACCCUCAGGACUUGAGAGGUGUUGGUAUACAAGUUGGACGUCUGGAACCAUCCUCUGCUGAUUUAGCUGCUAAAAGUCGUUCCCUUCUUGAUUUUGUUAGCCAUCAGACUAAAGUAUUGCCAAACAAUCAGUCGGUAACUGUUAACACUGAUGACUUGGUAUCUGAAGGGAAUCAGAAAAUACCACUUCCUACUCAAGAAGAUCUAAUUCUGCCUUCCCCAUCGCAGCUUGAUCUGACAGUGUUGGCUGCAUUACCUAAAGACUUACAAGAACAGAUCCAGAGAGCUUACCAUGAUAAACAUUUAUCCAACGUGGGUAGUGAGAUCCUUGCUCAAGCUUCAUGUUCAAAAGUGGAGGUUCUACAGCCAGUCGAAGAAAAAAUUUCUUCUGAGACAGGAGAAAACAGGAAUACAGUGAACAAGACGAAUUGCUUGAAUUCUGGUGAAAUUACCAGUACAGAAAUAACAUCUGAUGCAAAACCAGAACCCAAUCAAAGUGUCCAAUCUCGUGAGAAAAAAUUUUUCUCUAAAAUAGUAGGAAACGAAGAGUGUGUAGAAGAUAAAACUUUUCCUGAACUUAAAGGAGAGAAACUACUUCUAGAAAAGUCAAGUUCUUCUUCAACAGGAAGAAGUGAACGAUGUUUGGAGAACACAAGUUACUUUGUUCCAGAAGAUGGUUUUACUUCUCGAGAAGUAAAAGAGUUGGAGAAGCAAAUGUCAUUAUUUGGAUCAGGAGGAAGUGCCCAGUUAACGAAACAGUUGAGUAAUACUGAAGUAGAUGGUACUGUGCUGAAUAGGGAGAAGGAGCCAGAUACUGUUCCUGAGGUCUUUGACAGAAGUGUGUUUGAAGCAUUACCAGCCGAGCUGCGUUCCGAAGUUAUGGAAGCCUACAUGAACGAAAAAUCAAAUAGUGGUUUGUGCAAUCCUAACAGCAUGGAUGAUGAUUUUAAGGAAGAUGCAAAAACCUACAGAUCUUUAUUCAGACCUGAUCGAGUAAAUUCUCCCAAAAAGAAACAAGUGAAAAUAAGAAGACCACCGAAGGUUAACCAGUACAAACAAACCACUAGGAUCACUGAUGUUCAUGGUUUACAGAAGAAGGUACAUCCAGAUGAGAGAAUACAGGAAGUAAUUAAUGAAAAUGUCUCUAACCUUCAGUGGACUCCUGCAAGCAUCUGUGGGCAAACACAAAUAGAAGAUGUGAAAUCUUUAAUGAAAGAAUGGAUUGAGUCUACUCCAGGUUGAUGAUUUCAAGCCAGAAGUUAAAGAUAUGGAAGUAUUUGGUGAUUACAUACUAGAUGUAGUGGAGGAAAGAGAUUUGGAAAAAUUAGAUCUGUUGAUCAAGUACUUUCACAGGUUAGUGAAAAGAAUUC
rnacentral:misc_RNA from 1 species